rnacentral:rRNA from 1 species
GUAGGGAAUCUUGCGCAAUGGGCGAAAGCCUGACGCAGCCAUGCCGCGUGAAUGAUGAAGGUCUUAGGAUUGUAAAAUUCUUUCACCGGGGACGAUAAUGACGGUACCCGGAGAAGAAGCCCCGGCUAACUUCGUGCCAGCAGCCGCGGUAAUACGAAGGGGGCUAGCGUUGCUCGGAAUUACUGGGCGUAAAGGGAGCGUAGGCGGAUAGUUUAGUCAGAGGUGAAAGCCCAGGGCUCAACCUUGGAAUUGCCUUUGAUACUGGCUAUCUUGAGGAUGGAAGAGGUAUGUGGAACUCCGAGUGUAGAGGUGAAAUUCGUAGAUAUUCGGAAGAACACCAGUGGCGAAGGCGACUACCUGGACUGAUACUGACACUGAGGUGCGAAAGCGUGGGGAGCAAACAGGAUUAGAUACCCGGGUAGUCC